CAGUAAUCCGCAUCACUUCGGCGCUUUCACUUCCUUUCCCAACAUGUGGUGCGUGCUGCAAUAUAAUGCUGAAUAUCGCUCAAAGUGUGGAUUUCCUUACUUUGUGUUACAAAAGGAUGAUGAAAUCAUACAACGGAUUGUUUAAUAGUCUCUAACCACUGGAUCAUUCACAGACAGCAGUGACUUUACCAUGUCUACAGUUGAUUCCGUAUCUGAUGAUAAAGAAAAUACUCCUGUCACAAUCUAUACCUGGACUCUGGGACUGUUGACUCUGUUGCUGUAACAUUGCCUCUCUGAUGAACUCUGAAAUGAUUUUAAAAAGGAUUCUAAUUUGUGAUCGCAGUUGGACUCAUA